CAGGAAACCUGUCUGAGGAUGUUCACAUAUAACCAUUUCAUUUAAUUGUAUGUACAAUGUACAAUUUGAGAUGAAUAAUUCUAUGCAAUGUAGGAUGGCCAUAGUACCUCUGAUUCUAUAGCACCGGUCUGUCAAAAAGUCCAAAGAGCUCCCCGCUUGACAAUUUUGCCCAGUACAGGGGCUUCAAUUUUAUUUGUAUCAUUAUUUACAGUCACUUAUUGCAAUUAAUAAGAGUGAUGAAUCCCUUUAAUUCUUAUGUAGGUCUUGUAAGGAAUCUGAUUGUUGGGCUCCUUUAGCAAAAGUCUAAUUGAGCAAUUAAAAACUAGAAACUAAAACAAUAUACCUUUCAAAGUUGUUUAUGCUUUGGAAAGCCUUUUCAUCUGACAGGUUAGUCAUUUAUUUUGCAAGAUAUUCUGUUAUAUCCUUACAUUAAUACUUAUUUUCAGAGAGCUAAUUGUUUUGAGAUAAUUGUGUUAGCUCCAUGCAGCAUAGUUUUUGCUGAGCUAAGUUUUAACAUUAUUCCUGCUGCUUUUUAAGAUAGCUGCUAUAAGUACCUCCCAUGGAAAGUCAUUCCUAUGGUUCCUGUAAAAAUCUUGCAGAGGAUGUAGUACACCAUCUUACCCAUAGUCCAUAAUGUGAGGAGUCUCAUGUGAAAAAGCUGUCUGAAAUUGCUACAAGGAGGAAUUUUGUUUUGCAAACUGAGAUUGUUUUUUAUAUUUGGAUAGAUAUACUUAGGUGUCAGUACAUGUUUCUCUAUUUGCAUUAACAGAUGGGAAGAUAAGAACGAAUACUUUGUAUUUGUUCUUUUUUAAAUUGUAAAGGCUUUUAGCUAUACUUUUGAACUGAACUGAAAUAUGGAUUAGGUAAGCAUGUUGGCCAGUCUAAUAGGGCUGUUACACAUUGUUGCAAUAAUUAUCUGAAACAAACAAAUCCAAACUGUUUAACAAAACCUCUCUUUAUGUCUCAGGCUGUGCAUUAAGAUGUUAUACCUGUGAACAAAGCCCCUUCCUGUGUAGGACCAAUGUUACUUGCCAUGAAGAUGAAGAUUCCUGCUUGCAAAUUAGGUUUGUGAAUUUGAGAACCUAUAGUUGUUGGAAAACCUCACGAUGCACCACAAAAGAGGUUGCUGAUCACUUUAACGCUGACAGUUUUAGAUUCCUCUGUUGCCAACGAGAUCUUUGCAACAAGACUCCAAGUCUCCUGGUCGGUAUUGCUCCGCUGGGUAUUUCCGCAGUGACUGCA
rnacentral:lncRNA from 1 species